rnacentral:rRNA from 1 species
GUCGAUUCAAGUUACCUUCGGGUAAUGAGGAUGGCGGACGGGUGAGUAACGCGUAAGGAACUUGCCUCUUGGACUGGGACAACUGUUGGAAACGACAGCUAAUACCGGAUAUUAUGAGAUUCUCGCAUGAGAAACUUAUGAAAGCUAUAUGCGCCAAGAGAGAGCCUUGCGUUCCAUUAGCUAGUUGGUGGGGUAACGGCCCACCAGGCGACGAUGGAUAGCCGGCCUGAGAGGGUGAACGGCCACAAGGGGACUGAGACACGGCCCUUACUCCUACGGGAGGCAGCAGUGGGGAAUAUUGGACAAUGGGCCACAAGCCUGAUCCAGCAAUUCUGUGUGCACGAUGAAGGUCUUCGGAUUGUAAAGUGCUUUCAGUUGGGAAGAAGAAAGUGACGGUACCAACAGAAGAAGCGACGGCUAAAUACGUGCCAGCAGCCGCGGUAAUACGUAUGUCGCAAGCGUUAUCCGGAUUUAUUGGGCGUAAAGCGCGUCUAGGCGGAAAAAUAAGUCUGAUGUUAAAAUGCGGGGCUCAACUCCGUAUUGCGUUGGAAACUG